CCAAGCGACUGUUUACCAAAAACAUAGGUUUCUGCUAAGUCGCAAGACGAUGUAUAGGAGCUGACGCCUGCCCGGUGCUGGAAGGUUAAGGGGAUCUGUUAGAGCAAUCGAAGCAGUGAACUUAAGCACCAGUAAACGGCGGCCGUAACUAUAACGGUCCUAAGGUAGCGAAAUUCCUUGUCGGGUAAGUUCCGACCCGCACGAAAGGCGUAACGAUUUGGGCACUGUCUCAACAACAGACUCGGUGAAAUUGUAAUUCCGGUGAAGAUGCCGGAUACCUGCGACAGGACGGAAAGACCCCAUGGAGCUUUACUGUAGCUUGACAUUGGGUCUUGGUACUACAUGUA
rnacentral:rRNA from 1 species